AGAGUUUGAUCAUGGCUCAGGACGAACGCUGGCGGCGUGCCUAAUACGUGCAAGUCGAGCGGGGAUUAUGCUUGAUCGCUUCGGUGAGACGGCAUAUAUCCUAGCGGCGGACGGGUGAGUAACGCGUGGGUAAUCUACCUCGUAGUUCGGGAUAACAGGCCGAAAGGCUUGCUAAUACCGGAUGAGUUCAUGCUUAUGCAUAUAGGCAUGAAGAAAGGGCUAGCCCGCUAUGAGAUGAGCCCGCGUCCCAUUAGCUUGUUGGUGGGGUAAUGGCCUACCAAGGCAACGAUGGGUAGCCGGCCUGAGAGGGUGUACGGCCACACUGGGACUGAGACACGGCCCAGACUCCUACGGGGGGCAGCAGUAGGGAAUUUUCGGCAAUGGGCGAAAGCCUGAUGCAGCGACGCCGCGUGGAGGAUGAAGGCCUUCGGGUCGUAAACUCCUGUCUGGGGGGAUGAACACUGACAGUACCCCCGGAGGAAGCCCCGGCUAACUACGUGCCAGCAGCCGCGGUAAUACGUAGGGGGCGAGCGUUGUCCGGAAUUACUGGGCGUAAAGCGCGCGCAGGCGGCUUGUUAAGUCAGGUGUCAAAAUGCGGGGCUCAACCCCGUAUCGCACUUGAAACUGGCAGGCUUGAGUGCAGGAGAGGGAAGUGGAAUUCCUAGUGUAGCGGUGAAAUGCGUAGAUAUUAGGAGGAACACCAGUGGCGAAGGCGACUUCCUGGACUGUAACUGACGCUCAGGCGCGAAAGCUAGGGGAGCAAACAGGAUUAGAUACCCUGGUAGUCCUAGCCGUAAACGAUGGGUACUAGGUGUUGGGGGUGACAAUCCCCCAGUGCCGCAGUUAACGCAUUAAGUACCCCGCCUGGGGACUACGGCCGCAAGGCUGAAACUUAAAGGAAUUGACGG
rnacentral:rRNA from 1 species